CAGUCGAGCGGUAGCACAGAGAGCUUGCUCUCGGGUGACGAGCGGCGGACGGGUGAGUAAUGUCUGGGAAACUGCCUGAUGGAGGGGGAUAACUACUGGAAACGGUAGCUAAUACCGCAUAACGUCGCAAGACCAAAGAGGGGGACCUUCGGGCCUCUUGCCAUCAGAUGUGCCCAGAUGGGAUUAGCUAGUAGGUGGGGUAACGGCUCACCUAGGCGACGAUCCCUAGCUGGUCUGAGAGGAUGACCAGCCACACUGGAACUGAGACACGGUCCAGACUCCUACGGGAGGCAGCAGUGGGGAAUAUUGCACAAUGGGCGCAAGCCUGAUGCAGCCAUGCCGCGUGUGUGAAGAAGGCCUUCGGGUUGUAAAGCACUUUCAGCGGGGAGGAAGGCGAUGAGGUUAAUAACCUUGUCGAUUGACGUUACCCGCAGAAGAAGCACCGGCUAACUCCGUGCCAGCAGCCGCGGUAAUACGGAGGGUGCAAGCGUUAAUCGGAAUUACUGGGCGUAAAGCGCACGCAGGCGGUCUGUCAAGUCGGAUGUGAAAUCCCCGGGCUCAACCUGGGAACUGCAUUCGAAACUGGCAGGCUAGAGUCUU
rnacentral:rRNA from 1 species